UUGACAAGAUCCCAAAAAAAUAAUUCUUAUCAUGCUCACAUAGGACAAGCUUCCACUGCAAGAUUUCUUUUAGAUAAAACCAGCAGCAAAUGCAACCUUGUUUAUCAUGGAAAUGAUGUUUUUGUUUCCAGUCUUGUCCAGAUUGAAUUAAUUUGCAGUACUGAUGAAGGCAGGCUUGAGGAAUUUACCAGUACUGAUCAUGUAACAAAUGAUGACUUGAAUAGUUAUCAAUCUAGGCUCUAUUCUAAGUACGCUUGUCCAAUU